rnacentral:lncRNA from 1 species
UUUCAGCCGGAAACAAGGAAGAAGGGGGAAGAAGAAGAAGAGAGAUGCGGCUGCGUAUCUUUUAGGCUGUUAGGGUUUUUAUAAGUUAAGGUUUUUAAACAUUUAACCUCUCUAUCUUUCAUUAGUUUACAUUCAGUCCCUGAAACUUCUAACUUUUUACUUAAAAAGUGUAAAGAUAGUUUGUCUAUUUAAACAUUUAACCCCCUCUAUCUUCAGUAGUUUACAUUUGGUCCUUAAACUUUUUAAUUUAUGCAUAAAAGUACAAAAUUAACAUUAUAAAAUACAUAUAUUUAAUAUGGAUAGCUAUCUUUUAUACAUAUAUAUAAAAUUAACAUUAUAUAUAAUUAUAUAUAAUAUGGAGCGCUUCGUAUACGUGAAGCUCUCGCUUCGAGCUUGAAGCUUAGCUUAAAGCUUUUGGAACCAAAACGCUUCGGAGCGCUUCGCGCUUUUUUAAACCAAGAAUACCACGUAAAAUAUAAAGAACUACAUUAGGUAUAAAUAGAUGAGUGAAUUCCAUGUUAUCCCUUUUCAAGACUACAUGGAGUGCCACAUGGAGAGGGAAGGGCAAAGCCCCUCCACGCAAUCUACACCACCCAACCACCAUUAGCUAAGGGCGUUGCCCCUUUCCAUUGCCCAUUGCCUUUCACUACCCCUUUCCCUUUUUGAUGUAGAAGACAAAACUCACAUGGUCUACGUGACGUCUAUGUGACAGAAUGGGAGCUUUGCCUUUGCCCUUGUACUCGUGACACCGUAUAGUCUAAACUAGUGGUGGCAAAGUGGGCAAGUUGGAUAGGUUUGGGUAAUGGAUCAAGAUGGGUUUGGGUUAGGAUGGGUAUAGGUCAGGAUGGGUUCUAAAAAAUUAAAAAAAAUCAUAAAAAAUUUGAAA